CGUGAGUCCCCCUAUAGCCUGGUUGCCUCCAACACCCUGCUGGUGGCCCGGCCGUCCUGGCCCUACCUGGCCAGCCGUCCACCACCACCUUCACCCAGCAGCCGCUGCAGCGGAACAACGGGAGGAUCACAGGCUACGUGAUAUUCCUCACCAUGGACCAAACUGUCAGUGACUGGGUGAUGGGGGAAGUGACGGGGGACUGGCUCACCCUUACCGUCCAUGGACUGACGCCUUCAAGGAAGUAUUUGCACAAGAUGCACUCUCACAGUGUCAAAGGUUUUGGUCCAUUCUCCUCCGUGGAAAGCUUCACGACUCUUCCAGCUGUUGACAAGAGCAUCGGUGAGCCCCCAGGCUGGUGUGUGGAGCGAGAGGCCUGAUUGUGCUGGUGAUCGCUGGCGUGGCAGGAGCCAUGACCAGCUGGGGGCCUUCUUGGCCACCACACUGUACUGCCGCAGGUCAAGGCGGAGCCCAGGCCAAGCAUUGUUCUUGGCGGCAGCUGCAGUGAGAGCAACAAGCCUGGCGUCCAGCCUCCAGACCUGUGGAUCCAUCACGGCCACUUGGAGCUGAAGAACUUUGACAAGGGUGAGCGCAGCAACUCCCCCAACCACGCCUCCAUCAUCCAGCACACAGGAGUCGCGUCACAUCACAAUGGGACCAAAAAAGGACGAGAAGGGACAAGACAAGAAGAAAAGGUCUUCUGCUGCCGCUGGUGCCUCUCCUGAUGAUGAUGAGCAACAAGAAGACACUCAAGAACAACCUGCCAAGAAAGUGAAGGGACGAUCCAAGAAGAGGUCAUCGUCUGCUACCAGGGAGACACCCCCUCCUCCAGCCCUCUUGCGUCACCAAUCCACUUGGACACAGGAGCCCCAACCUGGUCAUGAUGAUGCUGGGUGUGUCUUUUGUUCAAAAUCGGGAGCAAAUUCUUGGAGGAGAUUUGAAACUCGUAGUAGAUCCGGAGUUAUCGGUGUAGUUCGUCGUACAUUGUAGUACUUCGUACUUACAAAUCGGGACAGUUGGUGUUGUUCGUGAUACUUCGUAGUACUUCGGCUCCAAAACUCAGUGUACUUCGGGAGAAAAUCAGGGUGAAAUCGUAGCACAUCGUAGCAUAUCGUAGUACGUCGUAGCACUUCGGGAAAUAAUUCGGUGUACUUCGGGGAAUAUGCCCUCGAGGUCGACCGAACGCCUCGAGAUGAAAAGAUAAACAAAUUUUCGUAGUGAUUUGGGGAAAACGCUGUCUCCCGAGGUACUACGAUUUUUUUUGUGAUUCGGCGUCUGUGAGACCGGGGGGUAAGUGUGUUCUCUCAAAGUUUCCGGUAGUUUGGUCGCUGCUCUCUGUAUUCUUUCCAACUUUCUAAUUUCUUUCUUCAAUAUAGGUGACCACACUAACGCUGCAUAUUCCAGUCUUGGACGUAUCAUCCAUGUUAUUAGUUUCUUCACCAUCUCUUCAUCUAGAUAUGUAAAUACUGCUUUUAUGUUUCUAAGAAGAUUGUAUGUUUCCCCAGUUAUCCGAUUUAUAUGCUUUCCAAAGGAUAACUUGUCUGUUAUUGUCACUCCCAGAUCCUUUUUCUUCUGUUUUUUUAUGAUUCUUUCGUUACUCAGAGAGUAGUUCCCCGAUAUUCGUCUGCUGCUCUUACCAAACUCCAUCACACUACACUUCUCUGUACUGAAUGUCAUUUCCCAUUUGCGUGACCAUUCGCUUAUUCUAUCGAAAUCCUGACUCAAUGCUACACAGUCUUCUUCAUUAGCCACCCUCCUCAUUAGUUUAGCAUCAUCAGCAAACAUAUUCAUAUAGCUUGUCACCCCUUCUGUCAUGUCAAUUAUAUAUUGUUAUGCCGGACGUAUUACUUGGGUUCCGUGUCGCCGUCACAAGACUCCGUGGGAGAGAGAUAUGUAAACACUUUGCACAGCUUCUGUAGUUUAAUAUUCUUCCUUAGUAGUACACUUCACUCUGACUCUUCACUGACCACUAGCUUACUAUGACUGGGACUGCCCUCUCUUGCCCUCUUCUCCUAUAUAUAUCCACAACAGCACAGUCUAGAAUGUUACAGUAUAUUUUAGAUCGUACAAGAACAUUUAGCAAAAAUAUAUGCGAGAUGGCAACACUUCCCGCCUGGCGCCUGGCCGCGCCCCGCGGGGCGCGGACGGCUCGCCUUGCUCCCCGCCCCCUUGCUCGCUUCUCCGGGAGCCUUCUUGAGGCCUAUGGUCGCCGGGGGAAGCUUCCAGCACAACACUAUCCCCCCCUCUUAAUUGUGAUCGUCCCGAUCACACACUUAACUAUAUACAAACGUAAGGGAAUUAAUCAAAAACAUAAUAAUCGUCGUAUCGCUGUGGACGCCUGCGUUGUCUCUGUCUUCUGCUCGGUGUCUCCUGCGCGUCUGUCUCCUGGUGCGCCUCGUCGUCGUCCGCUUCUUGGGGUGUCCCUGGAACAUCUGCCGAAGCAGGGAGGUUAUCUCCCUCAGCUGAAAGGUCCAGAAGGCCUAUGUCGUCGUCGACCUCCUCUCGGUCCUGGACGUCCCUUGCGUUUUCGUCGGCUGCUGGGUGUCUGUAGUUGUUCCAGGUGUAGUUUCCCGGACCGUGGUACCUCCAUAGGCGGUUGACGUGGACAACUUUCGGCUUGGUCCUUUCCGUUCUCCGGAUUCGGUAAGUCACGUCGGAGAGGCGUUCUAGCACAGUAUAAGGGCCUUCCCAGGGGCUCUGUAACUUUGGAGACUGUCCUUUCUUCCUCUGCGGGUUGUAAAGCCAGACCUUCCAGCCGUUCCUCUAGUUGACGGGCAAAACUGGAGGCGUCCCUAGGAAGG